CUCACUGCAGAGGUCAGGACAUCUGUCUUCUGCUUUGGCAGAACCUCCUGAUGAAUUGUGGCAGGAACCCAACUCAAUUCACUCAAGCGGAGUUUAUUGGUUAUUAAAACAUGGGGGGGGGAGAAGCAAUGUUGAUUCCUAGGGUAGUUAAAUCAUAGUCUUUGACUCUCCAGUGGGGAGAGUGCUGGGAGCCAAGGUGGAAGGGAGCAGGGCUGGAGUAACCUCCUGAAUACUAGGAAGAGGUAGGUCGUGUUCUUGAUUGUGGCCCUAGGGACAAAUUAGCCCCAGUUCUGCCCAAAGCAUUCCCAGCAAGAGGAGAUGGUACAUCCCCAACUACCUUGGCUCCUAAGAAGCCCCCUGCCUUGGUUUUCUGGAUUGCAUCUCCCAUUCACAGUGGUCUGGACCACAAAAGUUCAUCCCACAAGGUUGUCACUGAGAGGGCAUAAGAGGGAGAAGCAAGCAGCAUGAACCAGUGUAGAGGGGGCAGGCAGAGGAGAGCUGAGAAGCACAGACCCUAGACAGGGUCAGUGAAUGGUGCAGAUACAAGAAAGGAAAAGCCACAGGGCUUAGUGAUACAGGACAGGAGAACUUGAGAGGAGUGGGAGAUUCUGGGUUGGUGAGGGGUGAGGGGGAAAUUUCCCAGGGGUGGCUGUUGGGUAGGUAGUAGUUGUGAGGUUUGCUGAGGCACCCUUUCCCAGAAGGUGGUGAGACUGUGUGGCCAAAGGAAAUCUUGGGAAAGUCCUGAAGACAGCUAGUGAGUGCAGUCUGGAAUUGGGUCCUUGGGGUAAAAGAAGGAGACCCUUGGGUUUCAGUGGCCAUAGACACCCUGUGCAGGUCCUCAGCGGCAUUCUGUCUCAGCCUUGGCAUAAAUGCAUCAGGUGACUCAGGGAAGCCUGACAGCCUGCAAGGUGGCCGAACAGGAUCACCAAUAAAAUGCAAGAACAAAGACGACAGAACUUUGGGCUCCAGCCAAUGCACUUUAUCAGCAGAGCCCAUAAACUGUCCGUUCUUGGGUCUGAUGAAAGCCCUCCAACGUUACUACAAGGGCAGACAGAGCACUAGGAGAAAGUCACGCUACAGUCAGCUACAAGGAGGUGUGUGUGUGUGUGUGUGUGUGUGUGUGUGUGUGAGAGAGAGAGAGAGAGAGAGAGAGAGAGAAUCUCUUAUUGUUUACACACCAGGAUUCUGCCUUCCCACAGAGUAUGAGUGAAGACUUGGGAGGAGGAGGAAGCAAGAGUGCCCAUAUGUGUAUAUAUGUGCAGUACGGGUCUGCAUGUGCUAAAUGUAUGCAGUAUGUGAUGAAUGGUGGUGUUUAUACUCUACACAUGCAUGCAGAACACUUGGGUGUGAUAUGUAUGCGGUAUGUGGUGCAUCUGCAUGUACAUUAUGUAUGUGAGGUGUGCAUGACUCCGUGUGUGUGUGAGAGAGGUAUGUGUAGAGUAAGCAUGGAUCUGGAUGUAGGUAGGAUGGGUUCCUAGUACCAUCAUGAUGCUAGCCUGUAACUAAAGGAUGCUAUCUCAGAUGGGAUCCUGGCAAUGGAGCCUGAGAUAAGACUGGAGGUUGCCGAGGUGGAAGGAGAUUCCAGGGAGCCAGGGCUAGAGCAGGGAAGGAGGGGCAACUCAUAAAGGACGCAUUGUUAGGAUGGUGACCAUCACGGCCAACUAAAGCCUGUCUUCCUGGAGACUCUGUGGGAACUGUACUGAAUACAGAUGGCUGAGAUUACAGAGGGCACAGAACCUGCCUUCUUCAAAAUACCUAUUGGAACACCCAAAUUCUUGUAGGUCUUACCUGAAGCCCAGUCACCUCCCUCCUCCACCACACUAAGCCACAGGCAGUGCCUUUUCCAGUUUGUGCAUGUCGGAGGUUGAGUCCAGGGUCAGAGCAGUUUCUGCAUCCUUGUUGGGCCAUGGCUAUUUGCACAUCUAUGGUUAUAAGUAGAGUCAGAAGCACAGAGAUGCUCAGGCCUGCAUCCUAGAUACUGGUCCUCAUGCUUUUCCAGGGCAGAAGCCUGCCUCCUUGUAUUGGCUGACUGCCCCUUAGUGUGGUUUAACUUGACACGUUCCCCAUUAUAUCAGUCUCUUGGUUCCCAGAUGCUGGUCCUACUUUGGAGGCUGUGACAUCUGAGGAGGAAGAACCCAGCCAGAGGUUAUAGACCACUGAGGCAUUCAUUCGCAGGUUACUCCAGGACCCGAGUCAGGUCCUCUUCCUCUGUCUGCUAUGAGGUCAAGGUCCUCAUCACAGCCUCUUGCCACGAUGAUGCUCUGUCCAAGGACAAAGUGACCAUGGCCUGAACCUUCAGAAACCGUGGACUGACAUGAGUAAUCCCUUCCCUUUUGUUGCCAUCCGCUUGUGUGUGAUAAUGAGAAAGAGUGUUUGCUGUUGCUAACCCUGGUGAUGAGGUCUUCAGGCCUUUGGAAGUGGUUGUGGGGGAAAUUUGAAGACUUUGGAAAAGCAGGCUAGAGAGCUCGGAAGUGUUGUAUGCUCAUCUUAACUGGCAGUGAUGGUGGGAACUCGGGAGAUCAGAACCCCAUUGGGAAUGCAGACAGCAGAAGACUUCUCGUGAGACUUCAGACAGGCACAGGCACAGUGUGCUGGGAACUGGACCAAGGUGGCUCAUGCUGUAGUCUGGCAAAGGACUUCUCUGUAUAUUUCUACCUCCUGAGACUUUAUGGGAGACAGAGUUUAAAGGGAGGUGUAUUCUCAUUGGAAUAGCUAUGGCCUUAUUGGAGGAAGUCACUGUGGGAGCUUUGACAGUCUCCACUUGGUUACUUUUGGAUGAAGAUGAACUCUCUACUCCUCCAGCACCGUGUCUGCCUGCACACUGCCAUGCUUCCUGCCUUGAUAAUGGACUGAACCCCUGAAACCGGAUUAGGAGACCAGGACCCUGGACAGGGGACAUGAAAAUGCAGCAGGCAACCCAUGCAGACCACAGAGGGGCAGCGAAUUGGCCCUGAACUCUCACUUUUCACCUGGUGGGAACCCUUCGCACUUCAGAACCUGGCAGAGCGUGUGAAUCCCAUCUUAGGUUCUGGCAGGAAACCACUGCCAGAGAGACAGGAAAACCACCAGAGACUCUGGAAUUUUUGCAGAGGUAAAGCAGCCAAGUUGGAGAGUAUGGACACAGGGUUGCCAAAAGAAGGUCUGUUUCCACAACAAGACAGUAGUCCAAUUUUGAGGGUGUGUGGGUGAAGGACAACUCUUCCGUGAGCAAAGCUCUGCUUCCUUCAGUUGAGGUUUUAGAGGCUCAGGAAACGGAGCACUCGGGUUCAUUCAGACUGGCACCAAUGCUUGUCUAGACUGAGGUAAUCCACCCACCCCAGUGUGUCAAACAGAAGGAAGGGAGGGAGGGGGCAGCCACCAGUGAGAGAAUCUGCAGUUAAGCAAACAAAUAAAAACCCUCAAUGUUUAGUGCACUGUAGAAGAGUGAAUAGGAAUGGGGAUACAGUGCAUUUGUUAGAGCUCUGAUUAACAUAGGUUCAACAACCAGCACAAAAGAGGAAGAAAA